GAUGAACGCUGGCGGCGUGCCUAAUACAUGCAAGUCGAGCGAACGGACGAGAAGCUUGCUUCUCUGAUGUUAGCGGCGGACGGGUGAGUAACACGUGGAUAACCUACCUAUAAGACUGGGAUAACUUCGGGAAACCGGAGCUAAUACCGGAUAAUAUUUUGAACCGCAUGGUUCAAUAGUGAAAGACGGUCUUGCUGUCACUUAUAGAUGGAUCCGCGCUGCAUUAGCUAGUUGGCAAGGUAACGGCUUACCAAGGCAACGAUGCAUAGCCGACCUGAGAGGGUGAUCGGCCACACUGGAACUGAGACACGGUCCAGACUCCUACGGGAGGCAGCAGUAGGGAAUCUUCCGCAAUGGGCGAAAGCCUGACGGAGCAACGCCGCGUGAGUGAUGAAGGUCUUCGGAUCGUAAAACUCUGUUAUUAGGGAAGAACAAAUGUGUAAGUAACUGUGCACAUCUUGACGGUACCUAAUCAGAAAGCCACGGCUAACUACGUG
rnacentral:rRNA from 1 species